rnacentral:rRNA from 1 species
AGCAGUGGGGAAUUUUGGACAAUGGGCGCAAGCCUGAUCCAGCAAUGCCGCGUGAGUGAAGAAGGCCUUCGGGUUGUAAAGCUCUUUUGUCAGGGAAGGAACGGUGAGGGCUAAUAUCCUUUGCUAAUGACGGUACCUGAAGAAUAAGCACCGGCUAACUACGUGCCAGCAGCCGCGGUAAUACGUAGGGUGCAAGCGUUAAUCGGAAUUACUGGGCGUAAAGCGUGCGCAGGCGGUUUUGUAAGUUUGUCGUGAAAGCCCCGGGCUCAACCUGGGAAUUGCGAUGAAGACUGCAAGGCUUGAAUCUGGCAGAGGGGGGUAGAAUUCCACGUGUAGCAGUGAAAUGCGUAGAGAUGUGGAGGAACACCGAUGGCGAAGGCAGCCCCCUGGGUCAAGAUUGACGCUCAUG